CUUGGGUGACCUGGGGUUGUCGAAAAAUUCUACAGCGGAAUCCACCAAAGUAAUGCUAUUAUAACUUUCUAGAUCUUUUUACCAUCAUUGUUGUACAAUAAAUUGCGCUUUAAACGGUUUUUUUAAGUUUAGGGUAAAUUUGCGUUAAAAUUUUUAAUAGGAUGUAAUUGAUUUAAUUAUAUUAUCUAAUAUUUAGGUUUGCAUUUGUCUUUAAAUAUAUGUAUGCAGAAAUGGUUAUUACCAUUGCGUAAGUAGAUUAGAGAUGUUAUUGGUAUUCUUAAUAAUUGCUUUUUUUUAUUAAAACGGUAAUAAAAAAUGAGGAGCGAUUCUAUUAAAAUAAUCCUAUUAGUUUCUAUUAAUUGCCGAAUAAAAUUUAAUUUUUCGAAAUUAUUAGAUUAUGGGAAGUUUGUUUUUCCAUUUGUUUAAAGAAAUAAAAAUUGUUUACUAAUUAAGUAGUUUCAUUUUAAUUAUUUAUAAAUGCAUUAUAAUUCCAAAUUUUAAAUUUUAAUUUUUCUUAAAUAUAUUAAAAUAUAGCUAACAAAAGUAUAGUUUUUAUGUAGCUGUCGUAAAUCAAUUGAUGAAUCUGUCUGAAAUUUUAUAUAGAGGUUUGAAGGAUAACCUCUAUUAUAUCAGAUUGAAUAGCGAUACCAUUUCAUACAUUUUCUAGGGAUUUUUUUAUCGAACAACUCUCGAAGUAUGUGUUUAUUAUGAAUUCGAUUAAUUAUAAAUUAACGUAACACAUAAUUCGUAUUGAUAAUGAUGAAAAUUUGGUAUAUUAUGAACUGGUAUAUUAUAAUUUCUUGGUGCAAUAACAACACAUUCGCUCUUGAAAUUAAUAAGUAACGCAAUGAAAAUGAAUUCUUCUUAAAUGUCAUCGUGCGCAUUUCUGAAUAAAUAACGGUUGAAAUGAUCAAACGCGCUCGAGUUGAAUGGCCAAGCGCGAGAUAAUUCGUGAAUUUCGACGUUUUUUACAUUCGACAUCAAAUGUUUUACUGCAUGCAGUAAUUCGUAGAAUAUUGCGAUGAUUUGGCAGAAACGGAAAUGACAUUUGUGAGAACGUGACCUUUUGUUGUUGAAAAAAAGGAACUUGUAGAAAUAACUUUAAAACAACGUGAAAUUGAUUAAUACGAAAUAUAAGAAUCCAUUAAAAGAAAUCAUUUAUAAAAACGAAAUAUUUAGAGCAAUUUGAAGCAAUCAUCUUUAAACAUCUUACGAAUGUAAAAUGACAUAAAUUAACAUGAUGUAAUAUUGCAUCGCUGCAGUGAGUAUUGCCACGUAUAUUGUUGUAAAAUUGCGAUUAAGGAAAGUUGGUAAAGUCCAAGAAAAAAUGGAAGAGAAUAAUUAGGAUCCUUCUAUUAGACGUCAUCAAUUAUACCAUCAAUGUUUUGGAUUGUCUUAAAUUUAAAUCAUAAUGUAAUAUUUUGAAUUAUAAGUGAAAUUUAAUUCGAUAGAAUUAUUCGUCUGUUUUAUUUUUUAUUAUAUAGGUUUUUUAAUCCUUUGUUUUUAAUUAGGUGUAGUUAUACGCUUUAUUUCUUACUUAUUAGACAUUCAUGAAACAAGAGUAGGUUUUAUUCUUUGAAAAACUGUACGAACACAAUUUUGUUUUAGACACUGUCCUGCUACACAUAAAAGAUAUAUUACGUAUAUACUAUUGAUGAUAUUAUUAAUGGCAAAUAUACUUGUACUAUUAAUUUGUACUAAAAUAUAAAAAAAAAA